rnacentral:misc_RNA from 1 species
UGCGGAAGGAUCAUUAAUGAAAUGAAUGUCGAAAAGGGUUGUAGCUGGCCUCUUGAGGUAUGUGCACACCUUUAUCGCGCAUCCACAUCUCACACCCGUGCACAACCUGUAGCUUGGGAUGAUUACAAUUCUGGAAACGGUAUUGAAAGCCCUUGCUAUGAAUUUUUAAACAACCGUAUUAAAAGUUAUAGAAUGUCAUGGCGUGUAACAGCGCAAAUAAAUAUACAACUUUCAGCAACGGAUCUCUUGGCUCUCGCAUCGAUGAAGAACGCAGCGAAAUGCGAUAAGUAAUGUGAAUUGCAGAAUUCAGUGAAUCAUCGAAUCUUUGAACGCACCUUGCGCUCCUUGGUAUUCUGAGGAGCAUGCCUGUUUGAGUGUCAUGAAGCUCUCAACUGCUUUAGCUUUUUAUGGUUGAAGUGAAGUUGGAUUUGGAGGAAUGAUUAUUGCUGGCGUGACCUUUUCAGGUUGCUUGUUAGCUCCUCUUAAAUGGAUGAACUUUCCAGUAGUAAAAUAACACCAAUGUGAUAAUUAUCUACGUUGGAUGUGCUUUUUACAAGGAAAGGAUAUAUGUGUCUUGAAGGCAAACACCUCUUGACGAAACAA